rnacentral:rRNA from 4 species
GGGUUGUGAGGUUAAGCGACUAAGCGUACACGGUGGAUGCCCUGGCAGUCAGAGGCGAUGAAGGACGUGCUAAUCUGCGAUAAGCGCCGGUAAGGUGAUAUGAACCGUUAUAACCGGCGAUUUCCGAAUGGGGAAACCCAGUGUGACUCGUCACACUAUCAUUAACUGAAUCCAUAGGUUAAUGAGGCGAACCGGGGGAACUGAAACAUCUAAGUACCCCGAGGAAAAGAAAUCAACCGAGAUUCCCCCAGUAGCGGCGAGCGAACGGGGAGGAGCCCAGAGCCUGAAUCAGCAUGUGUGUUAGUGGAAGCGUCUGGAAAGGCGCGCGAUACAGGGUGACAGCCCCGUACACAAAAGCGCAU